UGGGGAAUUUUGGACAAUGGGCGAAAGCCUGAUCCAGCAAUGCCGCGUGAGUGAAGAAGGCCUUCGGGUUGUAAAGCUCUUUUGUCAGGGAAGAAACGGUGAGGGCUAAUAUCCCUUGCUAAUGACGGUACCUGAAGAAUAAGCACCGGCUAACUACAUGCCAGCAGCCGCGGUAAUACGUAGGGUGCAAGCGUUAAUCGGCAUUACUGGGCGUAAAGCGUGCGCAGGCGGUUUUGUAAGUCUGAUGUGAAAUCCCCGGGCUCAACCUGGGAAUUGCAUUGGAGACUGCAAGGCUAGAAUCUGGCAGAGGGGGGUAGAAUUCCACGUGUAGCAGUGAAAUGCGUAGAUAUGUGGAGGAACACCGAUGGCGAAGGCAGCCCCCUGGGUCAAGAUUGACGCUCAUGCACGAAAGCGUGGGGAGCAAACA
rnacentral:rRNA from 1 species